GGUAUGCUAUGGCUGGAAGUGACUUUUUCGUAGCAGGUUAGGAGAAUUUACGCAGUGAUUAGGAGAAUUAAUGUAGCAGUUUAGGAGACUGAAGGUAAGGUUAAGAAAGGGGUUAGUGUUAGCAGGUUAUGAGAGCAUUUCCCCUACGAAAAUCACUUCCGGUCGUAGCUGUAUCGAAGUGUCGUGAAAAAUUUGUCCCCAGGGCGGGUCUGUUCUGCCAUUUGGAGAAGAGGCGAAGUUGUCGUCCAGGAGGAUCAUGUCAGCAGCCUGCUUGGAGACGUCAGACCCAGCAAUCCCCAUGGCAACCCCGAUAUCAGCCUUCUUCAGUGCAGAGCGGCACUUCCCCACAGCGUCAGGCACGGCAGCACGGGGAGGGUCAAUCAUGGACAUGAGGCCCACGAAACACAGUCCUUCUGUAGGGAAGUUGAC